GUUAAAAUAAAUUUCGGCGUUGAAAUUUUUGAUUUCUGUCAAGCCGUUGACGAGAUAUACCACUUUUAAUUUUAGGUUUGAGGAGAAUAGUGGAGUAUCGUUAGAAUGGCGGUACGACGCGCAGCGUAUUAAUAUAGCACCACUACUCUCCUCCGACCCAAAAUUAAAUGGCAAAAAUAGGCAGUUGUUUUACCCCCGAAAAUUAGGUUGACG